AACGAACGCUGGCGGCAGGCCUAACACAUGCAAGUCGAGCGCCCCGCAAGGGGAGCGGCGGUCGGGUGAGUAACGCGUGGGAAUAUGCCCUUUGCUACGGAAUAGUCUCGGGAAACUGGGGGUAAUACCGUAUACGCCCUUUGGGGGAAAGAUUUAUCGGCGAAGGAUUAGCCCGCGUUGGAUUAGGUAGUUGGUGGGGUAAUGGCCUACCAAGCCGACGAUCCAUAGCUGGUUUGAGAGGAUGAUCAGCCACACUGGGACUGAGACAGGGCCCAGACUCCUACGGGAGGCAGCAGUGGGGAAUCUUAGACAAUGGGGGCGACCCUGAGCUAGCCAUGCCGCGUGAGUGAUGAAGGCCUUAGGGUUGUAAAGCGCUUUCAGCUGGGAAGAUAAUGACGGUACCAGCAGAAGAAGCCCCGGCUAACUCCGUG
rnacentral:rRNA from 1 species